rnacentral:rRNA from 1 species
AGAGUUUGAUCAUGGCUCAGAUUGAACGCUGGCGGCAGGCCUAACACAUGCAAGUCGAACGGUAACAGGAAGAAGCUUGCUUCUUUGCUGACGAGUGGCGGACGGGUGAGUAAUGUCUGGGAAACUGCCUGAUGGAGGGGGAUAACUACUGGAAACGGUAGCUAAUACCGCAUAACGUCGCAAGACCAAAGAGGGGGACCUUCGGGCCUCUUGCCAUCGGAUGUGCCCAGAUGGGAUUAGCUUGUUGGUGGGGUAACGGCUCACCAAGGCGACGAUCCCUAGCUGGUCUGAGAGGAUGACCAGCCACACUGGAACUGAGACACGGUCCAGACUCCUACGGGAGGCAGCAGUGGGGAAUAUUGCACAAUGGGCGCAAGCCUGAUGCAGCGACGCCGCGUGCGGGAUGACGGCCUUCGGGUUGUAAACCGCUUUUGACUGGGAGCAAGCCCUUCGGGGUGAGUGUACCUUUCGAAUAAGCACCGGCUAACUACGUGCCAGCAGCCGCGGUAAUACGUAGGGUGCAAGCGUUAUCCGGAAUUAUUGGGCGUAAAGGGCUCGUAGGCGGUUCGUCGCGUCCGGUGUGAAAGUCCAUCGCUUAACGGUGGAUCCGCGCCGGGUACGGGCGGGCUUGAGUGCGGUAGGGGAGACUGGAAUUCCCGGUGUAACGGUGGAAUGUGUAGAUAUCGGGAAGAACACCAAUGGCGAAGGCAGGUCUCUGGGCCGUCACUGACGCUGAGGAGCGAAAGCGUGGGGAGCGAACAGGAUUAGAUACCCUGGUAGUCCACGCCGUAAACGGUGGAUGCUGGAUGUGGGGACCAUUCCACGGUCUCCGUGUCGGAGCCAACGCGUUAAGCAUCCCGCCUGGGGAGUACGGCCGCAAGGCUAAAACUCAAAGGAAUUGACGGGGGCC